rnacentral:rRNA from 1 species
AUUGAACGCUGCGGCAGGCUUAACACAUGCAAGUCGAGCGAGCGGCGGACGGGUGCGUAAGGCUUAGGAAUCUGCCAAUUAGUGGGGGAAAACAUCUAGAAAGGGAUGAUAACACCGCAUACUAAUCGAUGAGGCUAGUCGGACUAGCAAGGUGGUGGGGUAACGGCCUACCCGGGCAUCGAUCUGUAGCGGGUCGGAGAGGCUGAUCGGCCACACGGGACCUGACACCGGCCCAGACUCCUACGGGAGGAAGCAGUGGGGAAUAUGGACAAUGGGGGGAACCCGGAUCCGGCCAUGCCGCGUGUGUGAAGAAGGCCUUAUGUUUGUAAAGCACGUUAAGCGAGGAGGCGUUACCGACAGAAGAAGCACCGGCUAACUCCGUGCCAGCAGCCGCGGUAAUAC